AGCGAACGCUGGCGGCAGGCCUAACACAUGCAAGUCGAGCGGCCGUAGCAAUACGGCAGCGGCAGACGGGAGAGUAACACGUGGGAACGUGCCCUUCGGUUCGGAAUAACUCGGGGAAACCCGUGCUAAUACCGAAUACGCCCUUACGGGGAAAGAUUUAUCGCCGAUGGAGCGGCCCGCGUCUGAUUAGCUAGUUGGUGAGGUAAUGGCUCACCAAGGCGACGAUCAGUAGCUGGUCUGAGAGGAUGAUCAGCCUCACUGGGACUGAGACACGGCCCAGACUCCUACGGGAGGCAGCAGUGGGGAAUAUUGGACAAUGGGCGCAAGCCUGAUCCAGCCAUGCCGCGUGGAUGAUGAAGGCCUUAGGGUUGUAAAGCUCUUUUGCCGGGGAAGAUAAUGACGGUACCCGAAGAAAAAGCCCCGGCUAACUUCGUGCCAGCCGC
rnacentral:rRNA from 1 species